CGAACGCUGGCGGCGUGCUUAACACAUGCAAGUCGAACGGAAAGGCCCCUUUGGGGGUCCUCGAGUGGCGAACGGGUGAGUAACACGUGAGUAACCUGCCCUUGACUUCGGGAUAACUUCAGGAAACUGGGGCUAAUACCGGAUAGGAAUCCUUGCUGCAUGGUGGGGGUUGGAAAGCUUCGGCGGUUUUGGAUGGACUCGCGGCUUAUCAGCUUGUUGGUGGGGUAGUGGCUUACCAAGGCUUUGACGGGUAGCCGGCCUGAGAGGGCGACCGGCCACAUUGGGACUGAGAUACGGCCCAGACUCCUACGGGAGGCAGCAGUGGGGAAUAUUGCACAAUGGGCGGAAGCCUGAUGCAGCAACGCCGCGUGCGGGAUGACGGCCUUCGGGUUGUAAACCGCUUUCAGCAGGGGCGAAGCUUGUGGUGACGGUACCUGCAGAAGAAGCACCGGCGAACUACGU
rnacentral:rRNA from 1 species